rnacentral:rRNA from 1 species
UUUGUGGGUUAUUAUCUAAAAAUAUUUGGUUGGGGCGACAGGGAUAGAAUUUUAAGUAACUGUCUUUUUUUAAAACAGUAAUAUUUGAUUUAAUGAUCCUAAAAGGGAUUAAAGAUUAAGUUACUUUAGGGAUAACAGCGUAAUUUUCUUUGAGAGUUCUUAUCGACAAGAGAGUUUGCGACCUCGAUGUUGAAUUAAAAGUUCUUUAUAGAGUAGAGACUAUAAUAGAAGGUCUGUUCGACCUUUAAACUU